AGACACCAACUCUCAUAAUAAAUA
rnacentral:siRNA from 1 species